rnacentral:sRNA from 1 species
AGUGUUCUGAUCACGCCCUGGGUGCUCACUGAAAAUGCUUCAGGGGCUCCCUGCCAUCUAUUGGAAAAAGGCAGAAAUCCUUAGGCUGGUGUGGUAGGGUCCAAUCAGAAAAGCAAAACCCACCCGGGAUGUUUCCGCAGAGGGAACUUCGUGUAGGGCACUGGAAGACUGAAAGGGCAAAGAGAGACUGCUAGGACAGAGAGUGGCAGAAGCAGCUUCCAGCCCUGCAGCCAGAGGGACAGAGAAGGAAGGCAAGCUUGGAGGAGGGCCCGGGACUCUGAUGGGGAAGAAGGGCCGUUGCUGCCACCUCCCCGUGCAAGAUCCUCAAGUGUAACUCUGAGUUCUGGAGCGCCACGUCGGGCAGCCACGCACCAGCCUCAGACGACACCCCCGAGUUCUGCGCAGCCUUGCGCAGCUACGCCCUGUGCACGCGGCGGACGGCCCGCACCUGCCGGGGUGACCUGGCCUACCACUCGGCCGUCCAUGGCAUAGAGGACCUCAUGAGCCAGCACAACUGCUCCAAGGAUGGCCCCACCUCA